rnacentral:rRNA from 1 species
UGGGGAAUAUUGGACAAUGGGCGAAAGCCUGAUCCAGCCAUGCCGCGUGUGUGAAGAAGGUCUUCGGAUUGUAAAGCACUUUAAGUUGGGAGGAAGGGCAGUAAGCGAAUACCUUGCUGUUUUGACGUUACCGACAGAAUAAGCACCGGCUAACUCUGUGCCAGCAGCCGCGGUAAUACAGAGGGUGCAAGCGUUAAUCGGAAUUACUGGGCGUAAAGCGCGCGUAGGUGGUUCGUUAAGUUGAAUGUGAAAGCCCCGGGCUCAACCUGGGAACAGCAUCCAAAACUGGCGAGCUAGAGUAGGGCAGAGGGUGGUGGAAUUUCCUGUGUAGCGGUGAAAUGCGUAGAUAUAGGAAGGAACACCAGUGGCGAAGGCGACCACCAGGGCUCAUACUGACACUGAGGUGCGAAAGCGUGGGGAGCAAACAGG